rnacentral:rRNA from 1 species
GAUGAACGCUGGCGGCGUGCCUAAUACAUGCAAGUCGAGCGAACAGACGAGGAGCUUGCUCCUCUGACGUUAGCGGCGGACGGGUGAGUAACACGUGGAUAACCUACCUAUAAGACUGGGAUAACUUCGGGAAACCGGAGCUAAUACCGGAUAAUAUAUUGAACCGCAUGGUUCAAUAGUGAAAGACGGUUUUGCUGUCACUUAUAGAUGGAUCCGCGCCGCAUUAGCUAGUUGGUAAGGUAACGGCUUACCAAGGCAACGAUGCGUAGCCGACCUGAGAGGGUGAUCGGCCACACUGGAACUGAGACACGGUCCAGACUCCUAGGGGAGGCAGCAGUAGGGAAUCUUCCGCAAUGGGCGAAAGCCUGACGGAGCAACGCCGCGUGAGUGAUGAAGGGCUUCGGAUCGUAAAACUCUGUUAUUGGGGAAGAACAAAUGUGUAAGUAACUAUGCACGUCUUGACGGUACCGAAGCAGAAAGCCACGGCUAACUACGU